rnacentral:rRNA from 1 species
UACGUAGGCGGUCAGAUAAGUCAGGUGUAAAAGGCAAUGGCUCAACCAUUGUAAGCACUUGAAACUGUUUGACUUGAGUACAGGAGAGGUAAGUGGAAUUCCUAGUGUAGCGGUGAAAUGCGUAGAUAUUAGGAGGAACACCAGUGGCGAAGGCGACUUACUGGACUGUAACUGACGCUGAGGUACGAAAGCGUGGGGAGCGAACA